rnacentral:sRNA from 1 species
GGCAGCGGCCAAUUUCACGCUCCCAACCGUUGUCAGUCCAUCGCCGAUGGAAUAGGCAGGGAAGUUGAGACGGUACGUCUUCCCUCUAUAUUUUAGAAUGAUAACAUCUGGCUCAGACUCGUCAUCGGCGACUGUGAGGGGAUGCCGGCCGCUCUGCGGGUCAGCGGAGGAGUAGCCUAGGUUAUGUCGCGCGCUGGUGUAGUCGGCGUCAUCGACUGUUACGUAGCUGUAGUCUUCAUUGGUAACGGUUGGUGGGGAAGUGUUCCGAUAUGGAGAUGAGCGCUCUCUCCAUGGAUUCCAGGUCAUUGCAACAAUAACCGCAAGAAGCAAGGCUGCUAGAACGGUGACUGCGAGGCGUGUGGUGGGGGUUGAUGAGGUAAGAAGUGAUAGGGACUCAAAGGGCUUCGCAAGGUUAUCUAGCCACAGGAAGGGUGACGAUGUUAGGUCGGCUUUGGCAAGUUUGAUCGCAAAGUGUGAGAGGACAGAGCGCAGGGGGUUAGGCAGAUGAGGUGCCAAAGACUCCAGAUAAGAAGCGGACGUCGCGCUGAUGGAGGAAAAAUGAGAGGAAACGAAAAUCAUGGACCGAUUGUGCCAAAUGGAGGAUAAGUAGGCGGGGCUUUGGUGGUGCAUCGCAGAGUUGGCAUCGGCGGCCUGGUGUUUUUUUUUUUUCUAAGCAUUGACUUCAGGCAGCGGCCAUGGGAUGGCAAAUGAUGACAGCCCAGUUGUUAUUAUUUGCUUGGUUCUGGGCGCAGUAGGGGCUGGGUCCCUUCAGGGGCCCAGCGCCCAAAAGCCAAGUUCCAGAGCAAUGUGUCAAAACCAGCAAACAAAUGGA